GCAGCGUGCGAAGCCGUAAGGCGCUGUAUACGCUGUGACGCCUGCCCGGUGCUGGAAGGUUACGGGGAAGGGUUAGUCUUCGGACGAAGCUCUGAACCUAAGCCCCAGUAAACGGCGGCCGUAACUAUAACGGUCCUAAGGUAGCGAAAUUCCUUGUCGGGUAAGUUCCGACCUGCACGAAUGGCGUAACGACUUUCCAACUGUCUCAACCACUGACCCAGCGAAAUUGAAGUACGAGUAAAGAUGCUCGUUAGCUGCAGAAGGACGGUAAGACCCCGUGGACCUUUACUGCAACUUGAUGUUGGGUUUUGUUAUGCGUUGUGUAGGAUAGGUGGGAGACGAGGAAGCAUUGGCGCCAGCCAGUGUGGAGUCAUCCUUGAAAUACCACCCUGCGUAUGGCGAGGCUCUAACCCAGACCCGUUAUCCGGGUCGGGAACAGCGUCAGGUGGGUAGUUUGACUGGGGCGGUCGCCUCCUAAAGAGUAACGGAGGCGCCCAAAGGUUCCCUCAGCCUGGUUGGC
rnacentral:rRNA from 1 species